CUUAACCGGGAGAGGCCGUAGAAGACUGCCGGGCUGGAGUGCGGCAGAGGGGUAUGGAAUUCCGGGUGUAGUGGUGAAAUGCGUAGAGACCCGGAGGAACACCAGUGGCGAAGGCGAUGCCCUGGGCCGCGACUGACGCUGAGACGCGAAAGCGUGGGGAGCGAACGGGAUUAGAAACCCCGGUAGUCCACGCUGUAAACGAUGCACACUAGGCGUUCGUGUGCCGAAAGGCAUGGGAGUGCCGCAGCUAACGCAAUAAGUGUGCCGCCUGGGGAGUACGGUCGCAAGGCUAAAACUCAAAGGAAUUGACGGGGGCCCGCACAAGCAGCGGAGCGUGUGGUUUAAUUCGAGGCUACGCGAAGAACCUUACCUGGGCUUGACAUCACGGUGGUAGUGAAGCGAAAGCGGAACGACCUUCGGGAGCC
rnacentral:rRNA from 1 species